rnacentral:rRNA from 1 species
CCUGGCGGCGAGUGGCGAACGGGUGAGUAAUAUAUCGGAACGUACCCAGAAGUGGGGGAUAACGUAGCGAAAGUUACGCUAAUACCGCAUACGAUCUACGGAUGAAAGUGGGGGACCUUCGGGCCUCAUGCUUGUGGAGCGGCCGAUAUCUGAUUAGCUAGUUGGUAGGGUAAAGGCCUACCAAGGCGACGAUCAGUAGCUGGUCUGAGAGGACGACCAGCCACACUGGGACUGAGACACGGCCCAGACUCCUACGGGAGGCAGCAGUGGGGAAUUUUGGACAAUGGGCGCAAGCCUGAUCCAGCAAUGCCGCGUGAGUGAAGAAGGCCUUCGGGUUGUAAAGCUCUUUUGUCAGGGAAGAAACGGGAUUGGCUAAUAUCUAGUCCUAAUGACGGUACCUGAAGAAUAAGCACCGGCUAACUACGUGCCAGCAGCCGCGGUAAUACGUAGGGUGCAAGCGUUAAUCGGAAUUACUGGGCGUAAAGCGUGCGCAGGCGGUUUUGUAAGUCUGACGUGAAAGCCCCGGGCUCAACCUGGGAAUUGCGUUGGAGACUGCAAGGCUUGAAUCUGGCAGAGGGGGGUAGAAUUCCACGUGUAGCAGUGAAAUGCGUAGAGAUGUGGAGGAACACCGAUGGCGAAGGCAGCCCCCUGGGUCAAGAUUGACGCUCAUGCACGAAAGC